rnacentral:rRNA from 1 species
AUACGGAGGGUGCAAGCGUUAAUCGGAAUUACUGGGCGUAAAGAGUACGUAGGUGGUUUAUUAAGUCAGAUGUGAAAGCCCCGGGCUCAACCUGGGAACUGCAUUUGAAACUAGUAGACUAGAGUAUGGUAGAGGGGGGUAGAAUUUCUAGUGUAGCGGUGAAAUGCGUAGAUAUUAGAAGGAAUACCAGUGGCGAAGGCGGCCCCCUGGACCAAUACUGACACUGAGGUACGAAAGCGUGGGGAGCGAACAGGAUUAGAUACCCCGGUAGUCC